rnacentral:rRNA from 1 species
UACGUAGGGGGCAAGCGUUGUCCGGAUUUAUUGGGCGUAAAGAGCGUGUAGGCGGCCAGGUAGGUCCGUUGUGAAAACUCGAGGCUCAACCUCGAGACGCCGAUGGAAACCAUCUGGCUAGAGUCCGGAAGAGGAGAGUGGAAUUCCCGGUGUAGCGGUGAAAUGCGUAGAGAUGUGGAGGAACACCGAUGGCGAAGGCAGCCCCCUGGGUCAAGAUUGACGCUCAUGCACGAAAGCGUGGGGAGCAAACAGGAUUAGAA